CCUACGGGAGGCAGCAGUGAGGAAUAUUGGUCAAUGGCCGAGAGGCUGAACCAGCCAAGUCGCGUGAGGGAAGACGGCCCUACGGGUUGUAAACCUCUUUUGUCGGGGAGCAAAGAGAGUCACGUGUGACUCUUUGAGAGUACCCGAAGAACAAGCAUUGGCUAACUCCGUCCCAGAACCCGCGGUACUACGGGGGAUGCGAUGGUUAUCCGGAUUUAUGGGGUUUAAAGGGUGCGCAGGCGGAGGUGCAAGUCAGCGGUCAAAUUGCGGGGCUCACCCCCGUACUGCCGUUGAAACUGCAUCCCUUGAGUGCGCGAGAGGUAUGCGGAAUGCGUGGUGUAGCGGUGAAAUGCAUAGAUAUCACGCAGAACUCCGAUUGCGAAGGCAGCAUACCGGCGCGCAACUGACGCUCAUGCACGAAAGCGUGGGUAUCGAACAGGAUUAGAUACCCGGGUAGUC
rnacentral:rRNA from 1 species